rnacentral:rRNA from 1 species
UACGAGGGGGGCGAGCGUUGUUCGGAUUCAUUGGGCGUAAAGGGCGCGUAGGCGGCGGGGUAAGUCUGGUGUGAAAUCUCGGAGCUCAACUCCGAAAUUGCACUGGAUACUGCUCUGCUAGAGGGCUGGAGAGGAGAUCGGAAUUCACGGUGUAGCAGUGAAAUGCGUAGAUAUCGUGAGGAAGACCAGUGGCGAAGGCGGAUCUCUGGACAGCUCCUGACGCUGAGGCGCGAAGGCUAGGGGAGCAAACGGG